rnacentral:rRNA from 1 species
GUCUUUUUGAGUAUUAUUUAAAGUCUGGCCUGCCCACUGAUUUAUUUAAAUGGCCGCAGUAUUUUGACUGUGCAAAGGUAGCAUAAUCAUUAGUUUUUUAAUUAAGAACUGGAAUGAAAGGUUGAACGAGAAAAUAACUGUCUCUUUAUAAAUUAUUUAAAAUUUUAUUUUUAAGUUAAAAAGCUUAAAUUAAAUUAAAAGACGAGAAGACCCUAUAGAGUUUUAUAUAAUAUAAAAUAAUUUUUUUAAAUAGAAUUAUUAAGUAAUUAUUAAUUAUUAUAUUUAGUUGGGGUGAUUAAAAAAUUUAAUAAACUUUUUUUUAAUUUAAACAUUUAUUUAUGAUUUAUUGAUCCAUUAUUAAUGAUUAAAAGAUUAAAUUACCUUAGGGAUAACAGCGUUAUUUCUUUGAAGAGUUCUAAUCGAUAAAGAAGUUUGCGACCUCGAUGUUGGAUUAAAAUUAAAUUUUGGUGUAGAAGCUAAAAGGUUAGGUCUGUUCGACCUUUAAAAUUUUACAUGAUCUGAGUUUAAACCGGUGUGAGCCAGGUUGGUUUCUAUCUUUAAUUAAUUUUAAUAUUUUAGUACGAAAGGACCAAAUAUUAGUAAAAUUUAUUAAUAAGUGAAUAUUAUUAAUUU